rnacentral:rRNA from 1 species
UACGUAGGGGGCAAGCGUUGUCCGGAUUUAUUGGGCGUAAAGAGCGUGUAGGCGGCCGCACAGGUCCGUUGUGAAAACUGGAGGCUUAACCUUCAGACGUCGAUGGAAACCGUGCGGCUAGAGUCCGGAAGAGGAGAGUGGAAUUCCCGGUGUAGCGGUGAAAUGCGCAGAUAUCGGGAAGAACACCCGUGGCGAAGGCGGUUCUCUGGGACGGUACUGACGCUGAGACGCGAAAGCGUGGGGAGCAAACAGG